rnacentral:rRNA from 1 species
UACGUAGGUGACCAGCGUUGUCCGGAUUUACUGGGCGUAAAGAGCGCGCAGGCGGUCGUUCAAGUCGAGUGUGAAAGCCCCCGGCUCAACUGGGGAGGGUCACUCGAUACUGAUCGACUUGAAGGCAGGAGAGGGAAGCGGAAUUCCCGGUGUAGUGGUGAAAUGCGUAGAUAUCGGGAGGAACACCGGUGGCGAAGGCGGGUCUCUGGGCAGUAACUGACGCUGAGGCGCGAAAGCUAGGGGAGCAAACGGG